rnacentral:rRNA from 1 species
CUACGGGUGGCUGCAGUGGGGAAUAUUGCACAAUGGAGGAAACUCUGAUGCAGCAACGCCGCGUGGAGGAUGACACUUUUCGGAGCGUAAACUCCUUUUAUAUAGGAAGAAGAUGACGGUACUAUAUGAAUAAGCGCCGGCUAACUCCGUGCCAGCAGCCGCGGUAAUACGGAGGGCGCAAGCGUUACUCGGAAUCACUGGGCGUAAAGAGCGUGUAGGCGGAUUAAAAAGUCAGAAGUGAAACCCUAUAGCUUAACUAUAGAACUGCUUCUGAAACUCUUAAUCUAGAAUAUGGGAGAGGUAGAUGGAAUUUCUGGUGUAGGGGUAAUAUCCGUAGAGAUCAGAAGGAAUACCGAUUGCGAAGGCGAUCUGCUAGAACAUUAUUGACGCUGAGACGCGAAAGCGUGGGGAGCAAACAGGAUUAGAUACCCGCGUAGUC